AACGUAGGACACGAGCGUUAUCCGGAGUUACUGGGCGUAAAGGGCGGGUAGGUGGUGCGAUAAGACUGGUGUGAAAGCCUUCGGCUUAACCGAGGGAGGACACUGGUGACUGUCGGACUUGAGGCAGAUAGAGGGGUGUAGAAUUCCGGGUGUAGUGGUGAAAUGCGUAGAGAUCCGGAGGAAUACCAGAGGCGAAGGCGGCACCCUGGGUCUGACCUGACACUGAUCCGCGACAGCAUGGGGGGCGAACGGG
rnacentral:rRNA from 1 species